UACGUAGGGUGCAAGCGUUAGUCGGAAUUACUGGGCGUAAAGCGUGCGCAGGCGGUUGUGCAAGACCGAUGUGAAAUCCCCGGGCUUAACCUGGGAAUGGCAUUGGUGACUGCACGGCUAGAGUGUGUCAGAGGGGGGUAGAAUUCCACGUGUAGCAGUGAAAUGCGUAGAGAUGUGGAGGAACACCGAUGGCGAAGGCAAUCCCCUGGGCCUGCACUGACGCUCAUGCACGAAAGCGUGGGGAGCAAACAGG
rnacentral:rRNA from 1 species